GACAAACGCUGGCGGCGUGCUUAACACAUGCAAGUCGAACGGAAAGGCCUCUUUCGGGGGGUACUCGAGUGGCGAACGGGUGAGUAACACGUGAGUAACCUGCCCUUGACUUUGGGAUAACUUCAGGAAACUGGGGCUAAUACCGGAUAGGAGCUCCUGCUGCAUGGUGGGGGUUGGAAAGUUUCGGCGGUUGGGGAUGGACUCGCGGCUUAUCAGCUUGUUGGUGGGGUAGUGGCUUACCAAGGCUUUGACGGGUAGCCGGCCUGAGAGGGUGACCGGCCACAUUGGGACUGAGAUACGGCCCAGACUCCUACGGGAGGCAGCAGUGGGGAAUAUUGCACAAUGGGUGGAAGCCUGAUGCAGCAACGCCGUGUGCGGGAUGACGGCCUUCGGGUUGUAAACCGCUUUCGCUCAUGACGAAGCUUUGUGUGACGGUAGUGGGUAAAGAAGCACCGGCUAACUACGUG
rnacentral:rRNA from 1 species